rnacentral:rRNA from 1 species
AUGGAGGUGUUAAGCAUGUUUUCUUUUAUUGCUCAAGCCACGAUACUCUUCCUUUUGUUUCUUAAACUCACAGCCUACGGCAACAAAAGCAAAUUACGCAAGAAGCAGCUGCCUCCCGGGCCAUGGAGCCUUCCGUUCAUCGGCAGCCUCCACCACGUCUUGCGUGGCCUCCCACACCGCACAAUGAGGGAGUUGUCUCGCCGUCAUGGACCCCUGAUGUUCCUCAGGCUUGGCGAGGUUCCAACCUUGGUCGUCUCCAGCGCCGAGGCGGCGGAGCUGGUGAUGAGGACCCACGACCUGUCGUUCGCCUCCCGGCCGAGCAGCGUGACCAUCGACAUCAUCGGCUGCUGCGGGAAGGGGAUCGGCUUCGCACCCUACGGGGACCGCUGGCGCCAGAUGAAGAAGAUCUGCAUCAUGGAGCUUCUCAACGCCAAGCAAGUGAAGCGUGUCGAGUCCAUAAGGGCCGAGGAGGUGGGCGGCCUCUUCCGCUCCUUUGCGGCGGCCUCUGGUUUCGUCAACCUCAGCAAGAAGGCGUCGGCGCUAGCGAACGACAUCGUCGCCAUGGCCAUGUUCGGCGGCAAGUGCGCAGAGGAGAAGUCCGAGUUCGUGCUCGCCUACGACCAAGUAAGCGAGCUGGUGGCUGGGUUCUUCCCGCUGGACUUCUUCCUGUCGUCGCGGAUCGUACGGCGGCUGAGCACCAUCGAGCACCGCCUCCGUGGGAGUUAUGGCUGCAUCCAGCGCAUCAUUGCGAGUAUCGUCGAGAGCCGCAAUGCGGAGAUCGCCGCCAACGGGGAUCAGGAGGAUUUCCUGGGAGUGCUGCUCAGGCUGCAGAAGAAGGAUUCACUUGCUUUCCCUCUAACCCCGGAGACUAUUGGUGCGAUCAUGUUUGACAUAUUUGGAGGCGCUACUACAACCUUAGGAUCCACUGUAGAGUGGGCUAUGUCGGAGUUGUUGAAAAAACCCGAGACUAUGGCAAAGUCACAACUAGAGGUUCAAAGCGUUCUAGGUGCACUAUGA